GUGGCUCAGAGGUAGAGCGCUCGCCUAGCAUGUGUGAGGCCCUGGGUUCAAUUCUCAGC
rnacentral:tRNA from 1 species